rnacentral:rRNA from 1 species
CAGCAGCCGCGGUAAUUCCAGCUCCAAUAGCGUAUAUUAAAGUUGUUGCGGUUAAAAAGCUCGUAGUUGGAUUUUGGGCCCGCUUUUCUUGGGCAGGUGUAAACUUGAUCUGAGAGAACGGACCUUCUGUCUGGAGGUGGCGUCCUUCAUGUUCAUUCGGUUGGAUGCCACGUCUAGGACUUUUACUUUGAACAAAUUAGAGUGUUUAAAGCAGGCUAACGCCUUGAAUACAUUAGCAUGGAAUAACCGAAUAGGACUUUGGUUCUAUUUUGUUGGUUUUAAGAACCGAAGUAAUGAUUAAUAGGGAUAGUUGGGGGCAUUCGUAUUUAAUUGUCAGAGGUGAAAUUCUUAGAUUUGUUGAAGACGAACUUCUGCGAAAGCAUUUGCCAAGGAUGUUUUCAUUAAUCAAGAACGAAAGUUAGGGGAUCAAAGACGAUCAGAUACCGUCGUAGUCUUAACCAUAAACUAUGCCGACUAGGGAUUGGAAGAUGUUAUUUUCAUGACUCCUUCAGCACCUUAUGAGAAAUCAAAGUCUUUGGGUUCCGGGGGGAGUAUGGUCGCAAGGCUGAAACUUAAAGGAAUUGACGGAAGGGCACCACCAGGAGUGGAGCCUGCGGCUUAAUUUGACUCAACACGGGGAAACUUACCAGGUCCAGACAUAGUAAGGAUUGACAGAUUGAGAGCUCUUUCUUGAUUCUAUGGGUGGUGGUGCAUGGCCGUUCUUAGUUGGUGGAGUGAUUUGUCUGCUUAAUUGCGAUAACGAACGAGACCUUAACCUGCUAAAUAGUUAAGCGAACCUCUGCGUUCGCUGCCAACUUCUUAGAGGGACUUUUGCGUGUUUUAACCAAAGGAAGUUUGAGGCAAUAACAGGUCUGUG